rnacentral:rRNA from 1 species
GAUGAACGCUGGCGGCGUGCCUAAUACAUGCAAGUCGAGCGAACGGACGAGACUCUUGCUUCUCUGAUGUUAGCGGCGGACGGGUGAGUAACACGUGUAUAACCUACCUAUAAGACUGGGAUAACUUCGGGAAACCGGAGCUAAUCCCGGAUAAUAUUUUGAACCGCAUGGUUCAAAAGUGAAAUACGGUCUUGCUGUCACUUAUAGAUGGAUCCGCGCUGCAUUAGCUAGUUGGUAAGGUAACGGGUUACCAAGGCAACGAUGCAUAGCCGACCUGAGAGACUGAUAGGCCACCCUAGAGCUGGGACACGGUCCAUGCUACUACGAGAGGCAGCAGUCGGCUACCUUACGCAAUAGGCGAAAGCAUGGCGGAGCAACGCCACGUGAGUGACAGCGGUCUUCGGAGCGUGAAACUCUGUUAUUAGGGAAGAACAGAUGUCUACGUUGCUGUGCAGAGCUUGGCGGUACCUAAUCAGAAAGCAACGGCUAACUACGUG